rnacentral:rRNA from 1 species
ACUCAAAUGAAUUGACGGGGGCCCGCACAAGCAGCGGAGCAUGUGGUUUAAUUCGAAGCAACGCGAAGAACCUUACCAAGGCUUGACAUCCCCUGACAGCUGUUGAAAGGCAGCGUCUCUUCGGAGCAGGGAGACAGGUGGUGCAUGGUUGUCGUCAGCUCGUGUCGUGAGAUGUUGGGUUAAGUCCCGCAACGAGCGCAACCCUUAUCCUUAGUUACCAGCGCGUUAGGGCGGGGACUCUAGGGAGACCGCCGGGGACGACUCGGAGGAAGGUGGGGACGACGUCAAAUCAUCAUGCCCCUUAUGUCUUGGGCUACACACGUGCUACAAUGGCCGCAACAGAGGGAAGCGAAGGUGCAAGCCGGAGCGAAACCCUAAAAAGCGGUCCCAGUUCGGAUUGUGGGCUGCAACCCGCCCGCAUGAAGUCGGAGUUGCUAGUAAUCGCGAAUCAGCAUGUCGCGGUGAAUGCGUUCCCGGGCCUUGUACACACCGCCCGU